GUAUUAGGUUGGUGCAAAAGUAAUUGCAGUUUUUGCUGUUACUUUCAAUGGUAAAAACCGCAAUUACUUUUGCACCAACCUAAUAUCU
ensembl:miRNA